UACGGGGGGGGCAAGCGUUGUCCGGAUUUAUUGGGCGUAAAACGCUUGUAGGUGGCCACGCCAAGUCGUGUGUGAAAUCUCCCGGCUUAACUGGGAGGGGUCAUGCGAUACUGGCGGGCUCGAGGCCGGUAGGGGGAAGCGGAAUUCCCGGUGUAGUGGUGGAAUGCGUAGAUAUCGGGAGGAACACCAGUGGCGAAGGCGGCUUCCUGGACCGGUUCUGACACUGAGGAGCGAAAAGCGUGGGGGAGCGAUCCGGG
rnacentral:rRNA from 1 species